UUAUAUCACUAUUGUAUACAAUACUUUUUCUACGAGUCAUCUAAAAUAGUACAUUACGAUACAAGUGCGAAAAAUAGGAAAUUCGAAACGAGUGGCGAUAAAUUAAAACACGACCGAAGGGAGUGUUUUAAAUCGACACGAGUUGCGAAUUAUCUAUUCGCACAUUGUAUCGUACAACGUUUUACAGUACAUAUGGCCCUUUAAAUGUUUGACACAGUAACGUAAUAUGCUAAUUUGCGCACUAGUCCGGUAAAGUAGCACCAUAUGUACUGUAGGUAAAGUACAUGACGAUACAAGUGCGAAAAACAGGAAAUUCGCAAUGAUAGGCGAGAAAUUAUAACACGACCGAAGGGAGUAUUUUAAAUCGACACGAGUUUCAAAUUACCGAUUCGCGCAUGUAUCGUACAACGUUUUACAGAUAUGGUUCUUUAAGUUUUAAUGUGCUAAUUAUCGCUCUAGUGCAGUAAAAUAGCACCAUAUGUA